rnacentral:rRNA from 1 species
AUGGCUCAGAUUGAACGCUGGCGGCAGGCCUAACACAUGCAAGUCGAGCGGAUGAGAGGAGCUUGCUCCUGGAUUCAGCGGCGGACGGGUGAGUAAUGCCUAGGAAUCUGCCUGGUAGUGGGGGGCAACGUUUCGAAAGGAACGCUAAUACCGCAUACGUCCUACGGGAGAAAGCAGGGGACCUUCGGGCCUUGCGCUAUCAGAUGAGCCUAGGUCGGAUUAGCUAGUUGGUGAGGUAAUGGCUCACCA